GUACGAAGGGGGCUAGCGUUGCCUCGGAAUUACUGGGCGUAAAGCGCACGUAGGCGGAUUGUUAAGUCGGGGGUGAAAUCCUGGAGCUCAACUCCAGAACUGCCUUCGAUACUGGCGAUCUCGAGUUCGGGAGAGGUGAGUGGAACUGCGAGUGUAGAGGUGAAAUUCGUAGAUAUUCGCAAGAACACCAGUGGCGAAGGCGGCUCACUGGCCCGAUACUGACGCUGAGGUGCGAAGGCGUGGGGAGCAAACAGGAUAGAUACCCCACGUAGUAG
rnacentral:rRNA from 1 species